rnacentral:rRNA from 1 species
AACAGGAUUAGAUACCCUGGUAGUCCACGCCGUAAACGAUGUCGACUUGGAGGUUGUGCCCUUGAGGCGUGGCUUCCGGAGCUAACGCGUUAAGUCGACCGCCUGGGGAGUACGGCCGCAAGGUUAAAACUCAAAUGAAUUGACGGGGGCCCGCACAAGCGGUGGAGCAUGUGGUUUAAUUCGACGCAACGCGAAGAACCUUACCUACUCUUGACAUCCAGAGAACUUAGCAGAGAUGCUUUGGUGCCUUCGGGAACUCUGAGACAGGUGCUGCAUGGCUGUCGUCAGCUCGUGUUGUGAAAUGUUGGGUUAAGUCCCGCAACGAGCGCAACCCUUAUCCUUUGUUGCCAGCGGUUAGGCCGGGAACUCAAAGGAGACUGCCAGUGAUAAACUGGAGGAAGGUGGGGAUGACGUCAAGUCAUCAUGGCCCUUACGAGUAGGGCUACACACGUGCUACAAUGGCAUAUACAAAGAGAAGCGACCUCGCGAGAGCAAGCGGACCUCAUAAAGUAUGUCGUAGUCCGGAUUGGAGUCUGCAACUCGACUCCAUGAAGUCGGAAUCGCUAGUAAUCGUGGAUCAGAAUGCCACGGUGAAUACGUUCCCGGGCCUUGUACACACCGCCCGUCACACCAUGGGAGUGGGUUGCAAAAGAAGUAGGUAGCUUAACCUUCGGGAGGGCGCUUACCACUUUGUGAUUCAUGACUGGGGUGAAGUCGUAACAAGGUAACC